AUUCUGGAAAGAUUGCAUCCAAACAGGAUCCCAGGACAAACUUUUGCUCUUCCACUAUAAAGUUAUGACAUGUGACAUUCUGUGUUGGAUGAACUGACCUACAUUCAUUAACCUCACACUAAUCUCUGGCUCCAUUGGUUUGUUUUUAGGUCAUGUGGACCACAGAUGAGAGAGCAUUCCUGCUGACCAUCAUAUGCGUUUGAAGGGCACCCAUGCAGGGUGGACUGGUUCUUGGUACCAUUGCUCUGGUCACACUUUAUCAGCUGCUGGAUUUAGAAUUGCUGCUUGCCCAGUAUUGGCCCUCAGACUUUAAUAAUCCAUUUACCAGAGCAGAGGCCAGUUUUUCCCAUGCCCCACCACACACAGUUCUUUUCAUUCUUGACUCAUAGCUGAUGACGGAAAGAUUAACAAAUCAUGUCAAUGUCUCAUCAGAGACAUUUAUACCUUUUACAUAUAUUCUACUCUACUCUGCAGCCUUUUUUCUGGCAAUAAAAUACAUUAAUAUGGGGGAUAAAAACUGUACAUAGCUGCUACAAAUUACAAAAAAUUAUAAUUUAUGUUGACUUUCAGUGGUCCAGAUUAGGGCUUUUAGACAAUAAUUACUUACUGUAAAACUAAUCUAGUUCAUUUCAUAAGAACAGAAAACAUUUUGACUAUUUCAUAGGACGUUGAGCAGCUGAUAUGGAUUUGAGCUUCUGGGGGCCAAUAAUUACAUGCUGGCACAUAUGACUUCAUUCCCAAUAUUCUGUGCUUCUGUACAUAGUCAGAUCCGAAAUUUGAGAGCGGAUCAGAGCAAAGUUUACCUCCUUCUAAGACCCCUUGUAAGGCGCUCAAAUGUGCUUAUCGCUGCAAGUUCAUUUGUAAAUAACUGUGACACUUUCCCAUGGUGCUGAAGAGCCAGUCAGCACUUACCCAAACACUCAAACACCCUAAAAUUCACAGGCAUGUACACACGAAUACAUAUGCAGCAUAAAUGUGUACACAGAGGAAUACUGAUGACACCUUAGCCCUGAUUUUUCUUUUCUACAGACUGCUGCAGUUAAUUGACAGUAGUUUAAUCUGCACUUCCAAUUAAAUUUUGCUGGUUGUGGAGAGUAACACAACAGAUGUUAAAAGAUGAUGCAAGGCCUUUUGGAUUUAAUACAAACAAUCUCAACUUUUCAAAGUCCUAAACACACUGACAGGCGUCCCGUUUAUAUACCUAUUAAGCUAGUCAAUGAAAACAGCUGCUGAAUUGGCAGAACAUCUUUGAUACAACAUGUGCACAUUAAAGGGUUUGUUUGAAAGUC